rnacentral:rRNA from 1 species
GUCACUGCUAUUGGGAUUCGACUAAGCCAUGCGAGUCGAGAGGGUUCGGCCCUCGGCUGACGGCUCAGUAACACGUGGAUAAUCUGCCCUUAGGUGGAGGAUACCCUCGGGAAACUGAGAAUAAUACUCCAUAGGUCUAGGAUGCUGGAAUGCAUCUAGACUGAAAACUCCGGUGCCUAAGGAUGAGUCUGCGGACUAUCAGGUUGUAGUCAGGGUAAAGACCUGACUAGCCUACGACGGAUACGGGUUGUGAGAGCAAUAACCCGGAGAUGAUAUCUGAGACACGAUAUCAGGCCCUACGGGGCGCAGCAGGCGCGAAAACUUCACACUGUGCGAAAGCACGAUGAGGGAAUCCCAAGUGCUAGCUCGUAAGAGUUGGCUGUUUUUCUGUCUAAAACACAGAGAGAGUAAGAGCUGGGUAAGACGGGUGCCAGCCGCCGCGGUAAUACCUGCAGCUCAAGUGGUGACCGUUAUUAUUGGGCCUAAAACGUUCGUAGCCGGUUUAGUAAAUGCCUGGGUAAAUCGUGUAGCUUAACUAUACGAAUUCCGGGUAGACUGCUAAGCUUGAGACCGGGAGAGGCUAGAGGUACUCCUGGGGUAGAGGUGAAAUUCUGUAAUCCUGGGGGGGACCACCAGUGGCGAAGGCGUCUAGCUAGAACGGAUCUGACGGUGAGAGACGAAGCCCUGGGGCGCAAACCGGAUUAGAUACCCGGGUAGUCCAGGGUGUAAACGCUGCUUGCUUGAUAUUAGUCGGGCUCCGAGCCCGAUUAGUGUCGGAGAGAAGUUGUUAAGCAAGCUGCCUGGGAAGUACGGUCGCAAGACUGAAACUUAA